rnacentral:rRNA from 1 species
UACGGAGGGAGCUAGCGUUGUUCGGAAUUACUGGGCGUAAAGCGCGCGUAGGCGGCUUUGUAAGUUAGAGAUGAAAGCCCGGAGCUCAACUCCGGAACUGCCUUUUAGACUGCAUCGCUUGAAUCAUGGAGAGGUCAGUGGAAUUCCGAGUGUAGAGGUGAAAUUCGUAGAUAUUCGGAAGAACACCAGUGGCGAAGGCGGCUGACUGGACAUGUAUUGACGCUGAGGUGCGAAAGCGUGGGGAGCAAACAGG